CUACGGGGCGCACCAGUGGGGAAUCUUAGACAAUGGGCGCAAGCCUGAUCUAGCCAUGCCGCGUGAGUGAUGAAGGCCUUAGGGUCGUAAAGCUCUUUCGCUGGGGAAGAUAAUGACGGUACCCAGUAAGGAAACCCCGGCUAACUCCGUGCCAGCAGCCGCGGUAAUACGGAGGGGGUUAGCGUUGUUCGGAAUUACUGGGCGUAAAGCGCGCGUAGGCGGACUGUUAAGUCGGGGGUGAAAUCCCGGGGCUCAACCCCGGAACGGCCUUCGAUACUGGCAGUCUGGAGUUCGAGAGAGGUGAGUGGAAUUCCGAGUGUAGAGGUGAAAUUCGUAGAUAUUCGGAGGAACACCAGUGGCGAAGGCGGCUCACUGGCUCGAUACUGACGCUGAGGUGCGAAAGUGUGGGGAGCAAACAGGAUUAGAUACCCUUGUAGUC
rnacentral:rRNA from 1 species